rnacentral:rRNA from 1 species
ACCAGCCACACUGGAACUGAGACACGGUCCAGACUCCUACGGGAGGCAGCAGUGGGGAAUAUUGCACAAUGGGCGCAAGCCUGAUGCAGCCAUGCCGCGUGUAUGAAGAAGGCCUUCGGGUUGUAAAGUACUUUCAGCGGGGAGGAAGGGAGUAAAGUUAAUACCUUUGCUCAUUGACGUUACCCGCAGAAGAAGCACCGGCUAACUCCGUGCCAGCAGCCGCGGUAAUACGGAGGGUGCAAGCGUUAAUCGGAAUUACUGGGCGUAAAGCGCACGCAGGCGGUUUGUUAAGUCAGAUGUGAAAUCCCCGGGCUCAACCUGGGACUGCAUCUGAUACUGGCAAGCUUGAGUCUCGUAGAGGGGGGUAGAAUUCCAGGUGUAGCGGUGAAAUGCGUAGAGAUCUGGAGGAAUACCGGUGGCGAAGGCGGCCCCCUGGACGAAGACUGA